AUGAGCAAUUCCUGUGAGUGCUGCAAGAGAUACUGGACUCAUUUGCAUGGAAAGGUCAAGUGUUUCUUCACGCACAUGGAUAGACACUCUAGGCAUAGCAUGGUCAUACCAGAGAGAUUUGUGAACUAUUUCGCGUGGAAGCUGUCAGGAACCAUUGAACUAGAAGCCCCCAACGGCAAUGUGUACGAUGUUGGAAUUACUGAGCGUAGGAACAAAACAUUACUCAGAUCUGGGUGGGAGGCGUUUGUCGAUGCCAACCAUAUAGUAGAGAACGACUCAUUGAUGUUCCGAUACCGUGGAAGUUGUCGCUUCAAGGUUGUGGUCUUUGAUUCUAGUGGUUGUGAGAAAGUGGUGUCCUGUGCUCGCAUACUGACCAAUAUUAGUGAUCAAGAACCAAGCACAAAUUCUGCAGACAUUUCGACCAGUUUCAGUGAUGGUAAUACUCCUUCGUCAGCACGAGCACGAUCAGAUGAUUGCCAGAGUGGAAGCUCAGGCCACCGUAGAAAACGAGCAAAGAAAGAUGUGAUAUCUUAUCCUUCGGAGGGAGAAGACAGUCCAGAUGAGCACAAGUCAUCUGAAUCCGAAGAUAUUGAACAUAUUCGAUUAACACCCGAGCAUGAUGAUACAGACCCCUGCAUGAUGCCAAUGGGUACCCGUCUAACGCAAGUGCAGGAGAAGAAAGUUCUAAAGAAAGUAGGAGCCAUUGCAUCCGAUCUGCACAUCUACGUCGCAGUCAUGACCAGGCGCAUUGUCCUCGUCUCCCUAACCUUCGCCACACAAUACUCUGAAACGUACCUUCGGAAGGGGAGCCGGAGUUUGGUGCUUCAGGCUGAGGGGAAGAGCCAGCGAUGGCAUACUGAGUUGCACGACACCAAACGGACCCUGAGGAUAUGUCGAGGCUGGACUUCUUUUGCCAGAGACAACAACCUGCGGGAGAGGGACAUCUGCCUCUUCGAGCUAAUGAAAAACGAGGGGGAGCAGAAGAAGAUGAUGGUCUAUAUCAUUCGCCGUGAGCGUUGCUAG
rnacentral:rRNA from 1 species